rnacentral:rRNA from 1 species
UACGUAGGGGGCAAGCGUUGUCCGGAAUCAUUGGACGUAAAGCGCGUGUAGGCGGUUCGAUAAGUCUGCUGUGAAAGUCCAGGGCUCAACCCUGGGAUGCCGGUGGAUACUGUCGAGCUAGAGUACGGAAGAGGCGAGUGGAAUUCCCGGUGUAGCGGUGAAAUGCGCAGAUAUCGGGAGGAACACCAAUUGCGAAGGCAGCUCGCUGGGACGUCACUGACGCUGAGACGCGAAAGCGUGGGGAGCAAACAGG